rnacentral:rRNA from 1 species
AACAAACGCUGGCGGCGUGCCUAAUACAUGCAAGUCGAACGGGGAAAGCUUUCGGGUGAGUACUAGUGGCGCACGGGUGAGUAACGCGUGGAUAAUCUGCCUUCGAGUGGGGGAUAACUAGUCGAAAGAUUAGCUAAUACCGCAUAAGACGACAAGAACUGCGGUUCAAGGGGUCAAAGGUUUUUCGCUCUAAGAUGAGUCCGCGUAAGAUUAGCUAGUUGGUAGGGUAACGUCCUACCAAGGCGACGAUCUUUAACUGGUCUGAGAGGAUGAUCAGUCACACUGGAACGGGGACCCGGUCCAGACUCCUACGGGAGGCAGCAGUAGGGAAUAUUGCACAAUGGAGGAAACUCUGAUGCAGCGACGCCGCGUGAGUGAUGAAGGCCAUCGGGUCGUAAAGCUCUGUCGCAGGGGAAUAACACACUGAAGGUACCCUGUAAGAAAGGAUCGGCUAACUUCGUGCCAGCCGCCGCGGUAAUAC